UACGUAGGGUGCGAGCGUUGUCCGGAAUUACUGGGCGUAAAGAGCUCGUAGGCGGUCUGUCGCGUCUGUUGUGAAAACUCGAGGCUCAACCUCGGGCUUGCAGUGGAUACGGGCAGACUAGAGUGCGGUAGGGGGAGACUGGAAUUCCUGGUGUAGCGGUGGAAUGCGCAGAUAUCAGGAGGAACACCGGUGGCGAAGGCGGGGUCUCUGGGCCCGACAUUGACGCUGGAG
rnacentral:rRNA from 1 species